rnacentral:rRNA from 1 species
UACGAAGGGGGCUAGCGUUGUUCGGAAUCACUGGGCGUAAAGCGCACGUAGGCGGAUUGUUAAGUCAGGGGUGAAAUGCCAAGGCUCAACCUUGGAACUGCCUUUGAUACUGGCAAUCUUGAGUCCGGGAGAGGUGAGUGGAACUGCGAGUGUAGAGGUGAAAUUCGUAGAUAUUCGCAAGAACACCAGUGGCGAAGGCGGCUCACUGGCCCGGUACUGACGCUGAGGUGCGAAAGCGUGGGGAGCAAACAGG